rnacentral:rRNA from 1 species
AAUCAACGCUGGCGGCGUGCCUCAGACAUGCAAGUCGAACGCGAAAGUUUCCUUCGGGGAACAAGUAGAGUGGCGCACGGGUGAGUAACACGUAGGUAAUCUACCUUUGGAUGGGGAAUAACAAUCGGAAACGGUUGCUAAUACCGCAUAAUGCAGCGGCACCUAAUGGUGACAGUUGUUAAAGCGGGGGAUCGAAAGACCUCGCGUCUGAAGAGGAGCCUGCGGCGGAUUAGCAGUUGGUAAGGUAAUGGCUUACCAAGGCUACGAUCCGUAACCGGCCUGAGAGGGCGGUCGGUCACACUGACACUGACAUACGGGUCAGACUCCUACGGGAGGCAGCAGUGGGGAAUCUUGCGCAAUGGGCGAAAGCCUGACGCAGCGACGCCGCGUGAGGGAUGACGGCCUCGGUUGUAA